UCCAGCCAUCACAGAGUUUGAUUAUGGAGCUGAGCGUCAUUCAGCAGUGCAUUUUUAUCCUCAUGUUAACACAAGGUUUUUGCAGUGUUGAGAUCAGACUGGACCAGUCUCCUGCUGUGGUCAAGAGACCUGGAGAAACUGUGAAGAUUUCUUGUAAAAUAAGUGGAUAUUCGAUGACGAGCAACUACAUACACUGGAUACGACAGAAACCAGGGAAAGCUCUGGAAUGGAUUGGGAGGAUGGAUACAGGCAGGAAUCAAGCAACAUAUGCAGAGUCUGUGAAGAACCAGUUCACCAUGACAGAAAAUGUCCCAGCAAGCACACAGUACUUAGAGGCCAAGAGUCUGAGGACAGAGGACACUGCGGUUUAUUACUGCGCCCGAAGAGCCACAGUGACUGGAGCUGAGGAAGCAGCUGUACAAAAACCAGACACAGACUGUAUCUGAACUAACUGAAGCUGCUUCAGCUGGAAUUGAUAGGAAAACAUUCUCUGUAUCUCUUUACUGCUCCAAAUAUCCACGUGUUUCUGGAUUUAAAACAAAUGUAGGA